rnacentral:misc_RNA from 1 species
UUCAAUUGAAUUUUACAAAAUUUUGUAAAAUGAAAUUGAACCAAGCAAGCUCUUAGACAGGAUAAUUUGUUUGUCGAACAUUUUUUGAGUUUGUUUUGAUGGAUUUUUUCAGUAAUAAAAUCAUGGUUUCAUCAUCUUUUAUUUGUGUUCUAAGAUAUAUGGUAGUAAGAUAUAAUGAAUCCUCCAAGUGUGACUUACUAAUAAAUUUAGAGAUUAUCCUAUUAUAGCUAAGUUAGGAUCACCAAAUCCUUAGCAGUUGAAAUUUUAUCUAUUCACAUGACAUUUAUAAUCUGCUAUGGCAGAUCUUCUUGGGAAUGACUCAGAAAAUAUAAAUUUUUGGUAAAACAGAAAAUAUGAACUUUAUAAUUAUAAAAUUAGAAGUACCUAUCGAUGCUCACAAUUUCUUUUUAAAUUUGUGGUUCCUGGACUGAGAAAUCUUAGUUGGUUUGAAGUUUUUUUUAUGAUCGUAUGAUAACAGUACUUUGUUGGCUAACUUAUUGACAAGACAGAGAAAAUAAUUGAUGCAGAGGUGGAAAACAGAGGCCAUUGGG